rnacentral:lncRNA from 1 species
AUUUAUCCCUGUUUCUAGAUUUCCAGAGAGGAAAAUGAACUACCAAAGGUCAUGUCCCUUUCUGUUUUGUGCAUCCAUGUAGCAGAUGGACACCUUAUCAACAACUCUUGCCAUGAAUUGGACUGUCAAGCAAUGGGGGAUACUCAAAAUAUCAAUAGGAUAGUGAGCAGGAGCAUUAAAUUCUAGGUUUUAUGUUGCCCCUAAAAAAAUCUGUGACUUCUGUCAAUUUACUGAACCUUGGAGGCACAGUUUCUUCAUCUGUACAAGGCCGGGCAGUUCUAGUAAUUCUCUGAUUCUCAGAAUCUAGGGAGCUUGUCUUAGUGGUUAGAAUUUGG